rnacentral:rRNA from 1 species
CUACGGGAGGCAGCAGUGGGGAAUAUUGCACAAUGGGCGCAAGCCUGAUGCAGCCAUGCCGCGUGUAUGAAGAAGGCCUUCGGGUUGUAAAGUACUUUCAGCGGGGAGGAAGGGAGUAAAGUUAAUACCUUUGCUCAUUGACGUUACCCGCAGAAGAAGCACCGGCUAACUCCGUGCCAGCAGCCGCGGUAA